rnacentral:lncRNA from 1 species
GGAGUUCCUUUUCUGUUCCAUUGUUCUAUAUGUCAAUAUUUUUACUAAACCAGUUGUUUUGAUUGUAACUGCCCUGUUCUGUGUCUUGCAAUCUGUUUUUGCGAUGCUUUGAGUUUUGUUUAUGUUGUGUAAGAUUGCUUUCACUAUUCAGAUGUUCUGUGUUUUCAUAAGAAUUUUAGCAUUGUUUUCUCUCCAUCUGGGCAAAAUGUUAUUUGACCUUUGAUUGGGAUCCCAUUAUGUCUGUAAAUUGCUUAUAGUAGAAUGGAAAUUUUCAUUAUGUUGAUUGUGCCAAUGAAUGACCAUGAAAGAUAUUUCUGUUUUGAGUGUCUUCUUCCAUUUCUUUAAUAUUUAUUAAUUUUCAUUGUAGACAUUUUCAUGGAUAUGAAACUGGAUGCAGUUGAAGUUCAUCUGCUGGGUCAUCUUCCAUUUCUAGAGACUGCUCAACUUCCUGCUAAACACAGCUGGGGCUUCUUCCUGGAGAGGAGCAACUGCUCCAUGCCAAUGUGUGUCCUGUUGCCAGUGAGGAGUGUGCCUGUGCCUGGCGCUUUGACCCAGAAGUGCACCUGCAGGCGCUGCCACUUCUGCCCUCGAUGCACUGGUGGGAGUCAGAGCCAUGUCUGCUCCUGCCCAGAGCCUUGAGGAGCCGCCUUCAACGCUGGUGGCUGAACCUGAGGAGACCCAGGGCCCCCCCAGGCUCAGGCCGGGAUCAGACUGCACACACAGAGGAGAAAGCAGAAGCUUAGAGAAAUGCCAAGAAUCCCUCAGUGCCCUGUUCCAGCCUGCCCCAUGGGUUCACACUGCAGGUGGCUACAAUGGCUGGUGGUGGGCCAUGAGGGUAUGGGUUCACACUGCAGGUGGCUACAAUGGCUGGUGGUGGGCCAUGAGGGUAUGGGUUCACACUGCAGGUGGCUACAAUGGCUGGUGGUGGGCCAUGCCGAAGCUAAAGCCAUGUACUUUAUCUAGUACUCCAGUGUGGGUUCAGGAACCGACGCCCUCGGGCAACUUGAGUUUGUGUAACACACUACCUGUAUAUGUAAAGUGCUUACCCCUUUUAUCACCAUUUAUUUGCUAA